GACGAACGCUGGCGGCGUGCUUAACACAUGCAAGUCGAGCGGUAAGGCCCUUUCGGGGGUACACGAGCGGCGAACGGGUGAGUAACACGUGGGUGACCUGCCCUCAGCUCUGGGAUAAGCCUGGGAAACUGGGUCUAAUACUGGAUAUGACUCCACGGUGCAUGUCGUGGGGUGGAAAGCCUUGUGCGGCUGAGGAUGGGCCCGCGGCCUAUCAGCUUGUUGGGGGGUGAUGGCCUACCAAGGCGACGACGGGUGGCCGGCCUGAGAGGGCGACCGGCCACACUGGGACUGAGACACGGCCCAGACUCCUACGGGAGGCAGCAGUGGGGAAUCUUGCGCAAUGGGCGAAAGCCUGACGCAGCGACGCCGCGUGAGGGAUGACGGCCU
rnacentral:rRNA from 1 species